UACGGAGGGUGCAAGCGUUAUCCGGAUUCACUGGGUUUAAAGGGUGCGUAGGCGGAUAGGUAAGUCCGUGGUGAAAUCCUGCAGCUUAACUGCAGAACUGCCGUGGAUACUAUCUAUCUUGAAUGUCGUGGAGGUUAGCGGAAUAUGUCAUGUAGCGGUGAAAUGCUUAGAUAUGACAUAGAACACCCAUUGCGAAGGCAGCUAACUACGCGAUAAUUGACGCUGAUGCACGAAAGCGUGGGGGAUCAAACAGGA
rnacentral:rRNA from 1 species